AGAGUUUGAUCAUGGCUCAGGAUGAACGCUAGCGGCAGGCUUAAUACAUGCAAGUCGAGGGGCAGCGGGGGUAGCAAUACCUGCCGGCGACCGGCAAACGGGUGCGGAACACGUACACAACCUUCCUUUAAGUGGGGGAUAGCCCAGAGAAAUUUGGAUUAAUACCCCGUAAGAUUUCUGAGUGGCAUCACUUGGGAAUUAAAGCUACGGCGCUUGGAGAUGGGUGUGCGUCUGAUUAGGUAGUUGGUAGAGGUAACGGCCCACCAAGCCAGCGAUCAGUAACUGGUGUGAGAGCMCGACCAGUCACACGGGCACUGAGACACGGGCCCGACUCCUACGGGAGGCAGCAGUAAGGAAUAUUGGUCAAUGGACGCAAGUCUGAACCAGCCAUGCCGCGUGAAGGAUGAAGGCCCUCUGGGUUGUAAACUUCUUUUAUCUGGGAAGAAAUGCAUUCUUUAUAGAGUGUUUGACGGUACCAGAGGAAUAAGCACCGGCUAACUCCGUGCCAGCAGCCGCGGUAAUACGGAGGGUGCAAGCGUUAUCCGGAUUCACUGGGUUUAAAGGGUGCGUAGGUGGGUUGGUAAGUCAGUGGUGAAAUCUCCGUGCUUAACAUGGAAACUGCCAUUGAUACUACUGGUCUUGAAUUUUCUGGAGGUUAGCGGAAUAUGUCAUGUAGCGGUGAAAUGCUUAGAUAUGACAUAGAACACCAAUUGCGAAGGCAGCUAACUACAGGGAUAUUGACACUGAGGCACGAAAGCGUGGGGAUCAAACAGGAUUAGAUACCCCCGUAGUCC
rnacentral:rRNA from 1 species